GACCCACGGGCACCGAGAGUCCUGCUCUUCCCACCCCUUCUGCAUGUCUCCACCCAGGCGCUCAAGAGCAUGCUGCGACAGGCCACUGCCUCCGCAUGACUUGCAUUAAAAACAUGUGUCUGGGUCCCAGCUCGUGAAGUUGGCUGGAGGUGCUUCUGAGUUGGUCGCUCUGGAACCACAUGCUGGCUCUGGGACCCUCUCUCAGGGCCCCUCUGGAUGCCAGAGCAGGCUGUAUAUUGCACAGCGGGAGUUGAGAGUGGCACCUUCCGGAGCUGUGCUAUGGGGUGGUCCCCCUCCCUAAAAUGGGAAUUAUAAUAAUACCUACAGCUGACCAGAUAAAGAGAUGAGGAGAAUGUGAGGCUCAGAGUUUGGCUACCAGAGUGUUCGUGAGUAACCAGCUUUGUUACAAACCGGAAGGGAUAGUCCUGAUUUGAGAGUUUUCUGCUUCCUUUCCAUCCUGGCUUGAAGUUGGCAGCAUUUCACCCUAGGCCAUGGAACAAGAGGUGGGGUCAGCAUCUUCCUAGGGUUCCCAGAACCAAUCCGGACUGCCCGGGACCUCUCAGAGUCUCAAAGGACCUGCUAGGUUUUUGUUUUUAAAAGAUGGAGUCCCCGUGUUGCCCAGGCUGGUCUCAAACUCCUCAGCCUCCCGAGUAGCUGGGAUUACAGGCAUGUGCCACCAUGCCCAGCAUGGACCUGUUAGCUUGAGG
rnacentral:lncRNA from 1 species